UACAGAGGUCUCAAGCGUUGUUCGGAUUCAUUGGGCGUAAAGGGUGUGUAGGUGGCGCCGUAAGUCGGGUGUGAAAUUUCGGAGCUUAACUCCGAAACUGCAUUCGAUACUGCGGUGCUUGAGGACUGGAGAGGAGACUGGAAUUCAUGGUGUAGCAGUGAAAUGCGUAGAGAUCAUGAGGAAGACCAGUGGCGAAGGCGGGUCUCUGGACAGUUCCUGACGCUGAGGAGCGAAAGCGUGGGGAGCGAACAGG
rnacentral:rRNA from 1 species